AACGAACGCUGGCGGCAGGCUUAACACAUGCAAGUCGAACGGAUCCUUCGGGAUUAGUGGCGGACGGGUGAGUAGCACGUGGGAACGUGCCCUUUGGUUCGGAACAACUCAGGGAAACUUGAGCUAAUACCGGAUGUGCCCUUCGGGGGAAAGAUUUAUCGCCAUUGGAGCGGCCCGCGUCUGAUUAGCUAGUUGGUGAGGUAAAGGCUCACCAAGGCGACGAUCAGUAGCUGGUCUGAGAGGAUGAUCAGCCACAUUGGGACUGAGACACGGCCCAAACUCCUACGGGAGGCAGCAGUGGGGAAUCUUGCGUAAUGGGCGAAAGCCUGACGCAGCCAUGCCGCGUGAAUGAUGAAGGUCUUAGGAUUGUAAAAUUCUUUCACCGGGGACGAUAAUGACGGUACCCGGAGAAGAAGCCCCGGCUAACUUCGUGCCAGCCGCCGCUGUAA
rnacentral:rRNA from 1 species